AGAUAUUAAAAAUAUGACUUGCCUCUUUUACUUUUACUAUUUGUGUGAAAGUGUGACGCCCCCACUUCUCCCUAAGGCGAACCAAAGGGUAUCCGCGGGACGCCUGCCUAACUCUCGUCAGGAUUCAAGUAAUUCCAUUCAAGCUUAUUAUCGCUCUACCCAACACACGUAAAUAACUUAAAUACAGAAAAUGCGAAAGCGUUCAAGCUUAACAAUAGUCAUCCAUUAUCCAGCCCGCACGUCGGGUGUUCAAAGUACAUCAUAAUUUCCAAAAAUACCUCACGCCCCAAAAGUUACAUUUCAAUUCCAAAAGUACAACCCAAAACCAAGGGCAUAGCCAAAAUAUAAUAGAAAUCCUAAACAAAAGCUCAUCAGGAGGUUUUUUCCAGUACGCCUCCGAGUUCAAAUCUGUUAAGGAAAACAAAUCUAUAGGGUGAGCAAAACGCUCGUGAGGCCAAGAACACACAUGCAGGCACAUAGUUCAGGUAACAAGCCCAAGUAACAGUUCAAGUGAUAACUUGCAAGUAAUUAACAAUGCCAACAAAAUGUAAACAGAAACGAUUCAAGGAUAUGGUAGCUCUCAAGAGCUAAGUUCCACUUGCUUUACCAGUUCAUUCGUAUAUCUUCCCGUGAUGACUCUCCGUCAACCGGGUUGAUAUUUCCAAACCGUAGAUUACCACUUACUUCUCAUCCGUCCACCAUACACCGCUUCGGGCCCGCAUGACAUUUAUGAGGCGAUACUCCAUGAGUAUGCCAAGCAAGAUCUCUCCAAUAGAUCAAGCUUAUCAUGUGAAUCUCAUGGCUCACCGAGGUUCCCGACCAAACCCAUGCCGGCUCGAAUUCCAAGGUCGGCCUAUGAGUUUGGGCGUCCCCCAUGUGUCAUGUAAGUGUCGAGGAGAUUCACUCCAACGACGUAUGCAACCAUAGCAUACCAUAUCAUGUAUUCAAGCAUUUGACAGGUCUAAGCAUGUAUUUCAAGUCAUGUAAAUCAGGCAAACCAUGUUAAGCAUGAGUAUUUGUUUCAAAUGAGAACGAGUGCGAUAAAGUACACACUCGACUCCAUUUUUCAAAACCAAGUAGGCUAAGCAUGUAAUCAGGUAAGCCAAGCAUGAAUCAAGUCCAUAGAGUUCAAGUAGUCAUACACUUGACACUCACCGAGCAAAUCAAGAAAAAAUAUUUUCUGGAAGUUCAAGUGUGCACGGUAGGAUCCUCUUGAAGGUUCUCGUGUGCGC
rnacentral:lncRNA from 1 species